UUUCCGAGCUUCGAAACAAAUCCCGAGGACCACGAAGGCGGAGUGGGUGCCGUUGCUGACAACGGCGAAUUCUUUCAAUGAAAGACAUGGCACAGAACGGCAAGAAGCCUAAUAGCGAACGUCCAAACAGAUAGGCCUGGCGUUGCUGCGGUGCUGCAGAUCCGCGUGCGAGAGCGCCGGUUCGAGGCCGCAAGAUCUGGCUUCAACCUGAACAUUCGUGCGACCUUUUCUUUUGGAGACUCGACUCCUGGGCUCAGUCACCGGGAUGCUUGCGCCACAUCCCAGGAUUUCUUUGACAAAUGCAACUGUUUACCCCGCCAUAUUUACUUGUUUUUUGUACUUUACUUUUCAAUACAUGCUGCCCGAUUCAUUUUCUUGUAGUAGCUGUAACAGAGAAUUCCACUUUUCUCACAGUGUUUAAUACAGUAGUGCUAGAAGUUUGCAAGUUAUUAACACUUGUAUAAAUUACACACUAUGUUAACUGAUACACAGUGUUAAUUAAUUGACACUGUUUAUCAACAUUGUAUGCAACUUUAUGUAAAACUGACAUUGUUGAUGAAUAAAUUUUAAAAGUGAAAUGUAA